rnacentral:misc_RNA from 1 species
UGUGGGAGCUGGCUUGCCUGCGAUAGCGGUGUAUCAGUUACAGGUUUUUAACCUGUUACACCGCUAUCGCAGGCAAGCCAGCUCCCACA